GACGAACGCUGGCGGCGUGCUUAACACAUGCAAGUCGAACGGAAAGGCCCUGCUUUUGUGGGGUGCUCGAGUGGCGAAAGGGUGAGUAACACGUGAGUAACCUGCCCUUGACUUUGGGAUAACUUCAGGAAACUGGGGCUAAUACCGGAUAGGAGCUCCUGCGGCAUGGUGGGGGUUGGAAAGUUUCGGCGGUUGGGGAUGGACUCGCGGCUUAUCAGCUUGUUGGUGGGGUAGUGGCUUACCAAGGCUUUGACGGGUAGCCGGCCUGAGAGGGUGACCGGCCACAUUGGGACUGGGAUACGGCCCAGACUCCUACGGGAGGCAGCAGUGGGGAAUAUUGCACAAUGGGCUGAGGCCUGAUGCAGCAACGCCGCGUGCGGGAUGACGGCCUUCGGGUUGUAAACCGCUUUCGCCUGUGACGAAGCGUGAGUGACGGUAAUGGGUAAAGAAGCACCGGCUAACUACGUG
rnacentral:rRNA from 1 species